UCUUUUUUCUUCCCCCAAGCUCCCGUAACCUUUUUCCUUUUUUUUCGUGGCCUUCUUUUCUUUUCUUCCAACCUCUCUUUUUUCCGCCGCUCCUCUGUUUCUUUUUUCCUUGCUUGUUCUUUAUCCGUUCUGCCCAGACGUUGCAAUCAUCUUAUCUCUCUGUUUUCUCUUUCUCAGCCCUUCUCUGUUUUUCUUGUUUCAGCCGUAGCUCCUCUCCCCAAAACUC
rnacentral:lncRNA from 1 species